rnacentral:tRNA from 1 species
GAGAUGGAUGCUCGCUGGUUUGGGCGCUUAGCUGUUAACUAGGAUUUUGAGGGAUCGAGGCCCUUCCAUCUAU